rnacentral:lncRNA from 1 species
AAUAAUUAGUUCAGUACCUUCAUUUUUUUUUUUUUUUUGAGAGAGAGAUAGGUAGCACGCUACCCGCUUCGUUUAUUUCAUUUAGAAAUAAACUUAGCUGGAAAUGUGAAUCAACUAGGAUUCGAACUUGGGUCUCGGGUAUCAAUUAUCAAGCCCUUUGCCACUUGCUCUAAGGACGGUCGGUAGUACCUUCAAUUAUUAAAGUAGAAGUUUCAAAUUAUAACUGCUUCGGUAUUGCAAUUGCUUAUUUUAGUUUUUUGCUACAG